rnacentral:lncRNA from 1 species
GACGAGAACUGACGAGGUUAUGGCUAUAUAAAUGUCGGAGAGCCCUCACCCCUCGUUCACCUCUCAAAACACCCCUGAUAUCGCUAGUGUAACAUCAACCUAAAGUCACUAUCUCUACGCCGUCCGCUGCCAGCCGGAAAUCGCCGCCGCCGCCGUCCAGUCACCAAUCAACCCCAGAUUUACACCCUAGAAUCCCCUCUUUGUCCUCUUUCCAACGCCCCAAGUAUCAACCUUCGAGUCACACCCCUUUGUCUCAAAUCUUCGAUCAAAGGGACAACUAUUCUGCCGUCCACAGCGGAGCCGGUCUCCAAAUAACCCCAAAUUUACACCACCAUAUCCUCUCACCCUCAUUUCUCUAAAUCCCUAGGCCCUGUCCCUCAAAUCUCAGUAGGAAGUCUCGAAAAGUCUGAAAAAUCCUAAAAAAUUCCCUAAAAUUUCCAUAUUCCCUGAGGUUUAGAGUUAUGAAAAUAUCUGAAAGUUUGAAUUUUAAGCUCCAAAAGCUAGAUCUGCAAAUUUAGAGUUGGAAAGCUCUUUUAGACCCAACACCUUCAAAAAAUUCCCAAAAAUACUGUGUUAUUCAAGUUUUUCCCUCAGAUUAGUUUCAAUUUCCAGAUGUUAAUUUGAAUGUCUAGCCUAAAUAAGAUAAGAAUGAUCUGAACUGCAUGUGUUUGUGAUGUUAAAACUUCAGAAGUUUCAUGGAUUCAAUUUCGAGUGUUUUUGGGUUCAAUCAAAGGCUAUUUUUGGUUAUGUUGGGUUGAUGCAAGUUUGGCUUCCAAAUUAGUCUUGCUGCUGUGUUUUUACUGUGAGUUUCAACUACUAUACUGCUGAAUCACUGCUGGCCUCUUCCUUUGUUUCAUUGUAAUUCCAGGUACAUAUAUAAACUUGACUUGGUGAAGCUUUUUAGUAAAAAUGAAAUGAAUAGUGUCCUGCACUUUCUCCUUGAACUGUAAUUGUUUGGACUGCUAUAUUUAAUGGUCAAAUGAACCUUAAAUGAUAUGUAAUAGGUUAAUGUGGUUUAAUUUUGGUUUGUACAUACAUAAACUUGGACUGUAUAACUUGGAGUGGACUGUUUUCGAGUCUAUUUAAUUGUUUUGAAUUAAUUGUAAGCCAUUUGACUGCUGUAUGUAAUGGUUAGAUCUAGACUACUAUAGUAGGUCAUGACUGAUUCAUUCCAGGUUUCCUUCACUUGUAUACAAAUGUGAACCUGUUCUAGAAGCUGUAGUUUGAUAUAUUGGGAUAGUAGUAAAAAUAACUAUCAUUGUAGUCUUAGUAGUUGAAUGAGGACAUGGCAUUUCAUUGUGUUGAUUUGAACGGGCAUGCUGGUUUUGAACCAGGAAAUCUACGCUUAUACAUAUUGAGUUUGCAUGAAUUUAAUAUCUCACCAUUGUCAAUGACUAUUCUGGUUCGAUCAUUGCCCUCCAUACUUGUUCGCAUUGAUUUAUUGUAGCCUUUACUAAACAGAAAGGCCCAGUGUGCUACUUUAAAUUUUUUUAAUCGAAAGGUUGAAAUUAAGCCUGAAGCCCAGCUUACUGCUUUUAUAUUGGGCUCGUCUGAGGCCCAAGGAUGCAUAGGAUCUCAAUCUACUCACUAAAUAUUGGGUAUGAUGGCAUUGAAAUAAAAUUGAGCUACAAGUUUGGGCUUUCGAGUUAGGUAGCGAAUUCGAAUUAAGUGGUUUCAUCCUUUUUAUUGAAUUCAUACUUGAAUUUGGAGCCCGAAUUCUAUAAUUGCUAUUGACUAGGUCCUUUUAGAGACACACUAUAGAAAAUCCUAAUUUGCUUUAGACUAGCCUUUAAAUAAUAAAAUGCGGUGUGCCGCGCCAAACGAAACCCAUGAAUUGCGUGGCCCUCUUUAAAUGCUCCUAUUAAUGUGCUUAGAAAUUUGGGACAUGUCGUUUAGUGAACUUCAUGGCUUCCCGCAAAGAUAAUAAUAUGUUAGUCGCUUUAGGCGUGUCUUUUUAAUAAUUUUACCUUCCUAAAUAUGGGUGUGCAUUUCAUGUGACCCAAAUCCAAAUNNNNNNNNNNNNNNNNNNNNNNNNNNNNNNNNNNNNNNNNNNNNNNNNNNNNNNNNNNNNNNNNNNNNNNNNNNNNNNNNNNNNNNNNNNNNNNNNNNNNNNNNNNNNNNNNNNNNNNNNNNNNNNNNNNNNNNNNNNNAUGUUUCGGAUCCGGGUGCAUUUCAUGUGACGCGAUCCAAAGACGUGUUUUAAAUGACGUUCACAUUCCCAAAAAUUCAAUUAAAAGCGGUAAAUAAUUUAAAAUUGCACUAUAGGAUGAACGUGUAUAAAAAAUCAGAAUUGUAGCCAAUUAUAUUAGUUUAAGCGACCGUGCUAGAACCACGGGAUCUGAGGGUGCCUAACACCUUCCCUCGGGUCAAUACAAUUUCUUACUUAGAACUUCUGGUUCGCAGACUCCAUUCGGGCAGUUGAAAAUUUCCUCGAUUUGGGAUUCAAAACAAAUCGGUGACUUGGGACACCAAAAGCCAAGCCUAUCCCAAGCGGCGACUCUAAAUGAAUAAAUAUAAUCCCAAUUUGAAUGAUGUCACAUUAAUUGGAAAAAAUCCCUUAUACAUUUAUCAUCCGGGUUAGCUGUGUAAACAGGAGGUGUGAUAACUCUGGCGACUCCGCUGGGGAAUGAACCCAGAAUCUCUGGUUCAAGAUUCAAGAAUUCGAGCUUAGAAUAACUCUUAUAUUUGGCUUAUCUGAUUUUAUUACAUGUUCAUGCUAUAUGUGCUAAAAUUUUUACCUCUUUGAUAUUGGAUUAAUUGUAUAUAUAAAAUGUUACGAAUCUCUUCUUCUCUCUGAGUCUUCUAAAUCAUGGAGAAGGGUGCACUUCGUGUGACUUCUCUUCUGUUUAGAGUCUUUUCCCAUUCAAAAUGAGGUUAUGAUAAUUUGCUAAGCCGACGGAACUUCUUUAUCCCUGGUACGUUGCCCUCCCCUCCCCCCCGGGCUCGAGUUGUCCGCUCGAGUAAGCCUGGUCUAGAACAAUAAACCCAGGGUUUAAACCUAGUAUAACAAAACCUCAUGCCAGAUCUCUAGUAGGAACAUUUGUUUGUAUCAUGUGCAUUUGACUUAGGGGACUCAACACAGGGGUUGGGUUCGUCUAGGACAAGUGACCCCAAAUGAAAAACCAUCCUGAUGCAUCUUACGUGCUACCUGUGCAUUUAUUUGCCUUAGAUUUGCAUGUUGACCGGCUUGCAAAUAAGGAGAGAAAAUUCAGAAAAUAGCAGUAAACAAAGAGAAAAAAGACAAAGAAAAGAACAAGAAAAAAAAAACAAAAAGACUUUUUAAAAUUUGGUUUGACAAACUAUUUUGGCUGAACUACGCUGGUUUGAUUCUCACUAGAUGUGAGAUAUAUAGGCAACCCCUCAUCGAGUCCAACCUCCCUUUUGCACAAACAAACAAAAUGCCAAAGUUUUACUUGUUGACCUAAAUAAAUCGGGUAAUGCCGUUCUUGUUAAAACAAGCCGAAUGUCCCCAAAAGGGCUCCAGAAGGCUGUUUUUGCAAGAACAGCCGCCCUGAGUCAUUUUUAAAUAGUUUGUGGGCACAACCUUAAAAUCUUCCUUCUAGAAAUGCUGAAAGGCCGUAUCGGCAAAACCAAGUCCGUGUUUUUCUUAAUAAAGCAAUUUUUGCUAAAAUAGCCAUUUUUGUCUUUUAGGUCAAAGUAACUCAAUAAAUCCCCUUUAAAUAAAUGUGCCGGAUGAAUAAGAAAAACAAAUAGUCUAGCGUUUUUGUAAUCAUAGUUUUACUAAUGAAAAUUUGAAAAUCCUAAAAAUUUAUCUCCUUGCUUGUGCAUUUAUUUUCAUGAACUACGCUCGGUCUGAUUCAUGGGGGGAAUGAUACGUAGGCAAUCUUCAUAGGAUUCGACCGUAACCCUAAAAAACGAAAAAGAAAGGAAGCAAACCAAAAAGAGAAAUGGGAGGUGUGAAAAAGAAAAAAGAAAAGGAAAGACCUAAGAGAAAACUAAAAGAGGGAAGAAAACAAAAGAAGAACCAGAGAGGAAAAAAAACAAAAAAGAGAGAAAAGCAAGAAAAACAAAGAGGGGAAAUCAAAAAGGGAAUUGGAAUAAAAGCCGGGACGACACAUUCAACCAUUGCAAACAUGUAGACCUCUAAUUAAUUGUAUAGGUGCAUCACACCCCAAUGUGCAAUUCCCUAUCUACUAUCUGUCUCAAACUAAUCAUUUGUUGCUGUCGUAAUCCAGCUUAGGUUUUUAGAAACGGUGGUUGGGUUUUGGUAAGCUGGCAUCACAUCGGUAUUUUACCCGAUCAAAAGGAAGUGCACAAAUGUCGUCUCAAAUAAUCUUGCCGGCCAUUCCCAUCUCAGAAGAUAGCCCAAUUUCAGGUAUCCCGGCCUCAGAGUCUGCAGCAGCCGAGGAAAACAAGAUCCUACUCCUUAGGGUCAUGGAGAUGUAGGAUACAUGGACGAAUGGAAAAGAGCC